UACAGAGACUCCAAGCGUUAUCCGGAAUUAUUGGGCGUAAAGCGCAUGUAGGCGGAGAUGUAAGUCUCGGGUGAAAUCCUACGGCUCAACCGUAGAUCCGUUCGAGAAACUAUAUUUCUAGAAGAGGGCAGAGGCAAGUGGAAUUCCCGGUGUAGGGGUAAAAUCCGUUGAUAUCGGGAGGAACGCCAAAAGUGAAGACAGCUUGCUGGGCCUUUCUUGACGCUGAGAUGCGAAAGCGUGGGGAGCAAACAGG
rnacentral:misc_RNA from 1 species